ensembl:lncRNA
UCUCUGUAAAUGUUAAUAAAUAGAGUUUAAUCCAGUCACAAUGUCUCUGUGUCGUCUUGGUUUAAUCUUUAACCCAGAAUAGAACCGAGCAGAAUCCAUCCUGGUAUUCAGACUAACCAGUAACCAUGACAACAUACUGGCGGGAGCUCCAGGCUGCAGUGUGUACGUCUGGCCACAGGGUGGCGCUGAGGAGAGAGAGAAUGUACUACAUUAUAAACUGGUUGGUUCGAGUGCUGAUUGGCUGAAUGCCAUAGUAUAUCAGACAGUAUACCACAGGUAUGACAAGACAUUUGAUUUUUUUACUGCUCUAAUUACAUUGGUAACCAGUUUAUCAUAGCAACAAGGCACCUCAGGGGUUUGUGGUAUAUGACCAAUAUACCACGGCUAAGGGCUGUGACCAGGCACUCCGCGUUGUGUCGUGCUUAAGAUCAGUCUUUGGUAUAUUGGCCAUAUGCCACCUCCCCUCUGGCCUUAAUGCUUAAAUAUGCAGUUAUAUAUGGUCUCUAUGGAAACAAGGGCCCUUAUACAGCCUACUGUAGGUAGUCUACCUUGGUAGUUAUAUAUGGUCUCUAUGGAAACAAGAGCCCUUAUACAGCCUACUGUAGGUAGUCUACCUUGGUAGUUAUAUAUGGUCUCUAUGGAAACAAGAGCCCUUAUACAGCCUACUGUAGGUAGUCUACCUUGGUAGUUAUAUAUGGUCUCUAUGGAAACAAGAGCCCUUAUACAGCCUACUGUAGGUAGUCUACCUUGGUAGUUAUAUAUGGUCUCUAUGGAAACAAGGGUCCUUAUACAGCCUACUGUAGGUAGUCUACC